ensembl:lncRNA
CUGUAAUCUUAACCUUAAGCACAGAGCAAACAUGCAUUUCUAUAGGGCUGAGGAUCCGUACACCGCCUCCUUUGAAGGGGAAAAUCUUUUAACUGUCAAACCCUGGGUAAACAGUCUGACAGAGCCACCGCCGCCAGUAGGAAACGAUAGCAGGAGAGUCCAAUUCAUCUUAGUUCAGGUCCACAUUCAGCCCAGUUUGAUCUCCAGUGAUCCAGACCAGUAAAAUCACAGCAGAAUAACCUAUAAAUAACCACAACUCCUAAUGUUUCCUUUGUUUUAGUGCAAAAAAUAUGGAAGCAAAUCAGACUCAUCAGAUUCUGAAUUUUAAAAGCUGCUGAAUUUCUUACUUUGAAUUUUUUUGUAUCAAAAUUACGUAUGUGAAUUUUUUAUGCCUGAAUUUAGCUCAUCAAAAUUCUAAAAACCAGUUAAAAAUUCAAUGUCUUCAAAAUUCGCCAUCAAAAAAAUUUGAUGUCUUCAAAAUUCACCAAAAAAUUUGUUGUUCACAUCCGGGGGACUCAGGCGUAAAAAAUCGAUCCUGGCCAAAAUCGAACCAACGCCCAGCCAAUCACGUGGCGCUCCUCCGGUCAUGUGACGCAGACGGUUCACCUCACAAGACCGGGGUCAACCACGGCUACCAGCAUGAACGACGGCGCUUCAGACCUUUGUAGCGAGGACCCGAUGCCAGGUCCAGUGGACAGACUUCAGACGUCUCUGUGUGUCCCGUCCUGUCCGGUCCUGUCUCUGGUUGCCUGGUUACAGACGCUGCUGCACCCGCACGUUUAAAAAUGUCUACACCUGAAACUCCACCACGUCUAAAGAAGCAAAAACGUUUGCAAAUGUACAGACUGGAGUAGGAAGAGUGGAACCCCUGGCAAUGGAUACAAGGCAAACUGUGUUUUCUGUUGCUCAUGGACUGGCUGAAGUAAGGCAGCAUCAGGAGACAAACAUGGAGGAAAUAUGAGAACAGAGAGAACCCAACCAGCAGGUCACAGUUUAUCAUCAUCUAAUCAUCUCCUGAAGUCCAUAUGGUCCCUCUCUAUCUCCCCACACAUCCACCAACCACUGGAACACAUCUCCAAAGUUCUGCCAGGCCAGCUCAGCUUCCCCUCAGAAGAAGUGGCGCCACCUGCCAGAUGAAGGAGCCUUUUGAGAGGCAGCUGGCAUCGUGAUUGGACUGUACUUUGGUCUGUUCCAAUCCAGCUUCAGCUCCAGAGACGGCAGGCGGGACGAGUCAACGGAGGCCUGGUGGACGAAGACUAAAGAACUACAGACUCUUCACAACCUGCUCAAACUCUUGGUACAGGACCUCACCACACGGGUCAAGAAGGUUUCUGUCUCAUUUCUACUCUGAAGCUCACCUUCUCCUGCUCAAACUGCUGACAAAUGUUUCUGC